rnacentral:rRNA from 1 species
GAUGAACGCUGGCGGCGUGCCUAAUACAUGCAAGUCGAGCGAACAGACGAGGAGCUUGCUCCUCUGACGUUAGCGGCGGACGGGUGAGUAACACGUGGAUAACCUACCUAUAAGACUGGGAUAACUUCGGGAAACCGGAGCUAAUACCGUAUAACAUGUUGAACCGCAUGGUUCAACAGUGAAAGACGGUCUUGCUGUCACUUAUAGAUGGAUCCGCGCCGCAUUAGCUAGUUGGUAAGGUAACGGCUUACCAAGGCAACGAUGCGUAGCCGACCUGAGAGGGUGAUCGGCUACACUGGAACUGAGACACGGUCCAGACUCCUACGGGAGGCAGCAGUAGGGAAUCUUCCGCAAUGGGCGAAAGCCUGACGGAGCAACGCCGCGUGAGUGAAGAAGGUCUUCGGAUCGUAAAACUCUGUUAUUAGGGAAGAACAAAUGUGUAAGUAACUAUGCACGUCUUGACGGUACCUAAUCAGAAAGCCACGGCUAACUACGUG